CUGGGGGUGGGGGCAAAAAGCGAGUAUAUAAAUGCAGAAGAAAUCAAGAUCAUUGAGACCUACAUUCUCACAAAUACUUUUGAGGCAGAAAAAUUCUACCGAUGAAGGUGCCACUGACAAAAUGUCUUUUUGAAUGCUAUGUAUCUUGAUUCAAGCAAUCGGUAAAUCAGUUUGAUGCUACCCAGAAAUUAUAAGUGAUAUGAGCCUUAGCAGCAGACAUAUCUAACAGGGCUAUGUAUCGCCCAAUCGUCUGUCUGUCGAUUCAAGCAACUGCGUCCGUUGAUUGAAGUCUCCGUCUGACGCUCGCAAUUCUUUCUGUGACUCCUAGAUAUUGUGAGUUUGUGUUUGUGUUUGUGAAUUUGGAAUUUGUUUGUGAUCUUCCUGU